AUAUUCGUUACCAAAAAUAUUUAAAACAACAUGACACGGCAUCUUAUUACAUCGCAAAGUCGAUAAAUUCUUUUCUUAUGCCGAGAAAUAUUGAAAGUAAAAGUAGAUUUCAUGUACAGUAGAAUCUUGAUAACUCGAAUGUCAAGGGAAACCAAAAAAAAUUCGAGAUAGCAAGUUUUCGACUUAACAAGAAUUUCGAGAUAUGAAGAGGUAACUCAUCAAAUUUCGACAUAAAAAGGCAGAAUUUCAUAGAACAUUUAUUUAUUUUAUGAACUUCGACUUACUGAGGUAGGAAUUUGCAGUUCGAGGUACUGAGUAUUAAAAUGUACGAGUAAUGCCUCACAGGGAAAUAACUUAUUGUUCGAGUUACUGAGUCUAAAAAAUUCGAGUUACUGCGUCGUUCGGGGUUCGGCGGAAGGGAAUAGCAUAUCUUUUCGAUUUACUGAGGAUUACGACUUAACAAGGUUCGAGUUAUCAAGAUUCUACUGUAUGUCGGUUAUUUCAACAUUGUGAAAUUUUAGUUUUGUCUUCUCAACUACGUGUUUAUCAGUAUGUUUGUGUAUAAACAACUUUUUUGUUCGUCUGACGCGUGAUAUCGCUACAUACCUGCCUUUAUAGAAUACGCUCUAUAUGUGUCUAUCCGACUCUUAUAUAGCUUAGGUUUAGUGCCAUUAAUUCUAAUUAUUUAUAAAUGACGAUUGAGUGAUUAACUGUUUUUCACACUCACACAUUCACACACGCAUGCACGUAAUGAAGAGCGGCUCGCUUGUGAUAUUAUUAGACAAUAAUAAGAUGGGUCGUUUGGUUUCGUUUGUAAUAUAUUUAAAAGUUUCCGCGCUGUGACUGCGAACGUAAUUGAUAUCAUGCACGUUAGUCAAUUGCGCUCGUUGCGAAUGGCGUCGGGAUCGAACACUUUAUACACGCAGAUGAAAUGAACGGAUGAAAACAUUUUUUUACAACCGCACAAUACUUGAUUUCGAUAGGAAUGUGACAAUCACUCAAUCAUGCAUUUGGUUUUUCUUGCGGCAGAAAAAUGUAUGUAUGUAAACGAAACAACUUAGCACUACCUGAUAUAUUUAUUGUUUAUCGUACCCAAAAAUUAAAUGAAUCAUUUAUUAAAUACUGGUUUGUUUCGUGUAUGACUUUUGUUGUUUUCAAUUUCAUUGCAAUAUCAAUCUUGUUUCUUAUGUGAGAAAUGUUUUGAAUAUUUUUAAGUUGAUCAAUAUUUUCAAAGGUUAGAUGGCGCUACGAUGUACGGUUUUGCAUUAAAUAUUGCUUGUUGGUGGUAGUGAGUGCACACCGUGUCCGUGUGGAUCACGCGAUUUCGCGCAAGAGAUAAGUUUGUUUACCUGCAGGUAUCGAAUCUUUAUUUCGUGGAAACAAAACACACCGUUGCUAGGUAUUAUAUUAGCAUCGUAAAUAAGCAAAUAUUCUUCAAUUCUUUCAUGAAUAUCACUAACAGUUUUAUAUUAAUUCUUGCGGCCAGUUUCGUGCCGGUCUCUGGUUGAUCCAGGUGUAUUUUGCGGGACUCGUAUCGUUUAUCCGGGAUUUCUACUUUAAAAUUCGUAUUAUAUUCGAUUAUUAAUCGACUAUUUAAUUUUAAUUUGACAUUAGUAACUUUAGUACAGUUAUUAAUUAUUUGCGCGUAAGUAUAUCGUGGCCAUGUUGAUUUAUUCAUCAUUUGGAUGACCCAUCAUGCUGGCUAUUUGCCUUGCCUUGGAGUCUGAUGAGUUCUGCAUUGGUGAGUUUAUAAUCUAUAUAUAUAAAAUUUGCGUGUCACAGUGUUUGUUUCCAUACUCCUCCGAAACGGCUUUACCGAUUCUUACCAAAUUUUAUAUGCGUAUUCAGUAGGUCUGAGAAUCGGCUAACAUCUAUUUUUCAUACCCCUAAGUGAUAAGGGUUGUUCACCCUUAACUUUUUUUUAAAUUUUUGGACAAAUUCUUUUGUUUUUAUUUUUUUUAUAAUGUGCAAUAAAAAAAUACAUACAACCCUAAA